AUGACCUCGGAUCAGGUAGGGAUACCCGCUG
rnacentral:rRNA from 2 species